rnacentral:rRNA from 1 species
UACGUAGGGUGCGAGCGUUAAUCGGAAUUACUGGGCGUAAAGCGUGCGCAGGCGGUUAUAUAAGACAGAUGUGAAAUCCCCGGGCUCAACCUGGGACCUGCAUUUGUGGCUGUAUAGCUAGAGUACGGCAGAGGGGGAUGGAAUUCCGCGUGUAGCAGUGAAAUGCGUAGAUAUGCGGAGGAACACCGAUGGCGAAGGCAAUCCCCUGGGCCUGUACUGACGCUCAUGCACGAAAGCGUGAGGAGCAAACAGGAUUAGAUACCCGUGUAGU